rnacentral:rRNA from 1 species
AGCCAGGUCGGUUUCUAUCCUCAAAAUUUUUAUAGUUUCUAGUACGAAAGGGCCGUUAUUAUGGAAAAUUUUCUUAUUUUUGAAUAUUAUUAA